rnacentral:rRNA from 1 species
AGAGUUUGAUCAUGGCUCAGGACGAACGCUGGCGGCGUGCUUAACACAUGCAAGUCGAGCGGAAAGGCCCUUCGGGGUACUCGAGCGGCGAACGGGUGAGUAACACGUGAGCAACCUGCCCUGGACUUUGGGAUAACCCUCGGAAACGGGGGCUAAUACCGAAUAUUACUUCUGCCCGCAUGGGUGGUGGUGGAAAGUUUUUCGGUCUGGGAUGGGCUCGCGGACUAUCAGCUUGUUGGUGGGGUGAUGGCCUACCAAGGCGACGACGGUUAGCCGGCCUGAGAGGGCGACCGGCCACACUGGGACUGAGACACGGCCCAGACUCCUACGGGAGGCAGCAGUGGGGAAUAUUGCACAAUGGGCGGAAGCCUGAUGCAGCGACGCCGCGUGAGGGAUGACGGCCUUCGGGUUGUAAACCUCUUUCAGCAGGGACGAAGCGCAAGUGACGGUACCUGCAGAAGAAGCGCCGGCCAACUACGUGCCAGCAGCCGCGGUAAGACGUAGGGCGCGAGCGUUGUCCGGAUUUAUUGGGCGUAAAGAGCUCGUAGGCGGCUUGUCGCGUCGACUGUGAAAACCCGCGGCUCAACUGCGGGCCUGCAGCCGAUACGGGCAGGCUAGAGUUCGGUAGGGGAGACUGGAAUUCCUGGUGUAGCGGUGAAAUGCGCAGAUAUCAGGAGGAACACCGGUGGCGAAGGCGGGUCUCUGGGCCGAUACUGACGCUGAGGAGCGAAAGCGUGGGGAGCGAACAGGAUUAGAUACCCUAGUAGUCC